rnacentral:rRNA from 1 species
GAGUUUGAUCAUGGCUCAGGAUGAACGCUAGCGAUAGCUUAAACACAUGCAAGUCGAGGGGGCAGCAUGAAUUUAGCUUGCUAAGUUUGAUGGCGACGGGCGCACGGGUGCGUAACGCGUAUGCAACUUGCUUUACAGAGGGGGGAUAACCCGUGAAAAGACGGACUAAUACCGCAUACACUUGCUGGGUUGCAUGAUCGGGCAAGGAAAUAUUUAUAGCUGUAAGAUAGGCAUGCGUCCCAUUAGCUUGUUGGUGAGGUAACGGCUCACCAAGGCAACGAUGGGUAGGGGAACUGAGAGGUUUAUCCCCCACACUGGUACUGAGACACGGACCAGACUCCUACGGGAGGCAGCAGUGAGGAAUAUUGGUCAAUGGGCGAGAGCCUGAACCAGCCAAGUCGCGUGAAGGAAGACUGUCCUAAGGAUUGUAAACUUCUUUUAUACGGGAAUAACGGGCGAUACGUGUAUUGCUGUGAAUGUACCGUAAGAAUAAGCAUCGGCUAACUCCGUGCCAGCAGCCGCGGUAA